rnacentral:rRNA from 1 species
CGGGACACGUGGUAUCCUGUCUGAAUAUGGGGGGACCAUCCUCCAAGGCUAAAUACUCCUGACUGACCGAUAGUGAACCAGUACCGUGAGGGAAAGGCGAAAAGAACCCCGGCGAGGGGAGUGAAAAAGAACCUGAAACCGUGUACGUACAAGCAGUGGGAGCCUCUUUUAUGGGGUGACUGCGUACCUUUUGUAUAAUGGGUCAGCGACUUAUAUUCUGUAGCAAGGUUAACCGAAUAGGGGAGCCGAAGGGAAACCGAGUCUUAACUGGGCGUUAAGUUGCAGGGUAUAGACCCGAAACCCGGUGAUCUAGCCAUGGGCAGGUUGAAGGUUGGGUAACACUAACUGGAGGACCGAACCGACUAAUGUUGAAAAAUUAGCGGAUGACUUGUGGCUGGGGGUGAAAGGCCAAUCAAAC